GAUGAACGCUAGCGGCAGGCCUAAUACAUGCAAGUCGAGGGGCAGCGGGAGUAGCAAUACUUGCCGGCGACCGGCGCACGGGUGCGUAACACGUAUACAAUCUGCCUUCUACUGGGGGAUAACCUUUCGAAAGAGAGAUUAAUACCCCAUAAUAAAUUGAAUAGCAUUAUUUGAUUUUGAAAGAUCCGUCGGUAGAAGAUGAGUAUGCGUCUGAUUAGCUAGUUGGUGAGGUAAUGGCUCACCAAGGCUACGAUCAGUAGGGGAUCUGAGAGGACUACCCCCCACACUGGUACUGAGACACGGACCAGACUCCUACGGGAGGCAGCAGUAAGGAAUAUUGGACAAUGGAGGCAACUCUGAUCCAGCCAUGCCGCGUGCAGGAUGAAGGCCCUAUGGGUCGUAAACUGCUUUUGUACGAGAGAAAACCUAUUUACGUGUAGAUAGUUGAUAGUAUCGUAAGAAUAAGGAUCGGCUAACUUCGUGCCAGCAGCCGACGG
rnacentral:rRNA from 1 species